CAGCCGCCACGGUAAUACGAAGGGGGCUAGCGUUGCUCGGAAUGACUGGGCGUAAAGGGCGCGUAGGCGGCGGCCAAAGUCAGAGGUGAAAUCCCAAGGCUCAACCUUGGAACUGCCUUUGAUACUGGGGAUCUCGAGUUCGGGAGAGGUGAGUGGAACUGCGAGUGUAGAGGUGAAAUUCGUAGAUAUUCGCAAGAACACCAGUGGCGAAGGCGGCUCACUGGCCCGAUACUGACGCUGAGGUGCGAAAGCGUGGGGAGCAAACAGGAUUAGAUACCCGGGUAGUCCCUGUCUCUUAUAC
rnacentral:rRNA from 1 species